UGUCCAGGGAUGGGAAUCGAACCCACAAUGUUCCGCUUACCGGGCAGAUGCCAUGUCCAUUAGGCUAACCUGGAC
rnacentral:tRNA from 1 species